rnacentral:rRNA from 1 species
UACGGAGGGUGCAAGUGUUAUCCGGAUUUACUGGGUUUAAAGGGUGCGUAGGCGGGCCUUUAAGUCAGUGGUGAAAUCUCCCCGCUCAACGGGGAAACUGCCAUUGAUACUAUUGGUCUUGAAUUUAGUUGAGGUGGGCGGAAUGUGUCGUGUAGCGGUGAAAUGCUUAGAUAUGACACAGAACACCGAUUGCGAAGGCAGCUCGCUAAACUAAUAUUGACGCUGAGGCACGAAAGCGUGGGGAUCAAACAGG